rnacentral:rRNA from 1 species
ACUCCCAAACCCCUGUGAACAUACCAAUUGUUGCCUCGGCGGAUCAGCCCGCUCCCGGUAAAACGGGACGGCCCGCCAGAGGACCCCUAAACUCUGUUUCUAUAUGUAACUUCUGAGUAAAACCAUAAAUAAAUCAAAACUUUCAACAACGGAUCUCUUGGUUCUGGCAUCGAUGAAGAACGCAGCAAAAUGCGAUAAGUAAUGUGAAUUGCAGAAUUCAGUGAAUCAUCGAAUCUUUGAACGCACAUUGCGCCCGCCAGUAUUCUGGCGGGCAUGCCUGUUCGAGCGUCAUUUCAACCCUCAAGCCCCCGGGUUUGGUGUUGGGGAUCGGCGAGCCCUUGCGGCAAGCCGGCCCCGAAAUCUAGUGGCGGUCUCGCUGCAGCUUCCAUUGCGUAGUAGUAAAACCCUCGCAACUGGUACGCGGCGCGGCCAAGCCGUUAAACCCCCAACUUCUGAAUGUUGACCUCGGAUCAGGUAGGAAUACCCGCUGAACUUAAGCUAAUCAAUAAGCGGAGGAAA